CGAGUUUGAUCCUGGCUCAGGAUGAACGCUAGCGGCAGGCUUAACACAUGCAAGUCGAGGGGUAUAGUUCUUCGGAACUAGAGACCGGCGCACGGGUGCGUAACGCGUAUGCAAUCUACCUUUCACAGAGGGAUAGCCCAGAGAAAUUUGGAUUAAUACCUCAUAGUAUAAUUGAAUGGCAUCAUUUAAUUAUUAAAGUCACAACGGUGAAAGAUGAGCAUGCGUCCCAUUAGCUUGUUGGUAAGGUAACGGUUUACCAAGGCGACGAUGGGUAGGGGUCCUGAGAGGGAGAUCCCCCACACUGGUACUGAGACACGGACCAGACUCCUACGGGAGGCAGCAGUGAGGAAUAUUGGUCAAUGGGCGCAAGCCUGAACCAGCCAUGCCGCGUGCAGGAUGACGGUCCUAUGGAUUGUAAACUGCUUUUGUACAGGAAGAAACACUGGUUCGUGAACCAGCUUGACGGUACUGUAAGAAUAAGGAUCGGCUAACUCCGUGCCAGCAGCCGCGGUAAUACGGAGGAUCCAAGCGUUAUCCGGAAUCAUUGGGUUUAAAGGGUCCGUAGGCGGUCAGAUAAGUCAGUGGUGAAAGCCCAUCGCUCAACGGUGGAACGGCCAUUGAUACUGUCUGACUUGAAUUAUUAGGAAGUAGCUAGAAUAUGUAGUGUAGCGGUGAAAUGCUUAGAGAUUACAUGGAAUACCAAUUGCGAAGGCAGGUUACUACUAAUGGAUUGACGCUGAUGGACGAAAGCGUGGGUAGCGAACAGGAUUAGAUACCCUGGUAGUCCACGCCGUANACGAUGGAUACUAGCUGUUUGGGAGCAUCUCAGUGGCUAAGCGAAAGUGAUAAGUAUCCCACCUGGGGAGUACGUUCGCAAGAAUGAAACUCAAAGGAAAUGACGGGGGGCCCGCACAAGCGGUGGAGCAUGUGGUUUACUUCGAUGAUACGCGAGGAACCUUACCAAGGCUUAAAUGUAGAUUGACCGGUUUGGAAACAGAUCUUUCGCAAGACAAUUUACAAGGUGCUGCAUGGUUGUCGUCAGCUCGUGCCGUGAGGUGUCAGGUUAAGUCCUAUAACGAGCGCAACCCCUGUUGUUAGUUGCCAGCGAGUCAUGUCGGGAACUCUAACGAGACUGCCAGUGCAAACUGUGAGGAAGGUGGGGAUGACGUCAAAUCAUCACGGCCCUUACGCCUUGGGCUACACACGUGCUACAAUGGCCGGUACAGAGAGCAGCCACUGGGUGACCAAGAGCGAAUCUACAAAACCGGUCACAGUUCGGAUCGGAGUCUGCAACUCGACUCCGUGAAGCUGGAAUCGCUAGUAAUCGGAUAUCAGCCAUGAUCCGGUGAAUACGUUCCCGGGCCUUGUACACACCGCCCGUCAAGCCAUGGAAGCUGGGGGUGCCUGAAGUCGGUGACCGCAAGGAGCUGCCUAGGGUAAAACUGGUAACUAGGGCUAAGUCGUAACAAGGUAACCUCAAGUGG
rnacentral:rRNA from 1 species